UUCUUCACUGUGUCCAAAACCGUCAUCACCCAGCAAACGUGUCUUCUCGUUCUGUUCCAUUCACACAUAAUUCGUUCUGUUCUUUUCACGGCAGAAUUCAACUGGUAAUUUUAAUUAUUUCUGUGAAUUUAUACAGCUUCAUUUCAAUACAACAAUCAAUAUUUUUCUUCCUUCUUUCAUUUGUCUGUGCAGUCAUAGCAAAUAGCCAAAUACUAUCAUAGAAUCUUGUUCCUAAAAAUUCAGACACGCGUACACAUAAUCAAAUGGCCUCAAUUGAAUAAUUAAGAAAUCAAAUGGAAUAAAAUUCUGAUACUUCACUGAAAAGAAAUUAGGGGGGUUGGGGAAUUUAUGUGAAAAGCUGUGGUCGAGCCAGGAAGAGGAGUGCGGCAACCUCGCCAUGAACUGAGGAAAACGGCGGCGCCGCGGCUAUGGCGGUGCUGCUGCUGUGCGAUGUCGGUUGGGCAAGAGGGAGGCAGCGGCUGGGCAGCACUGCUGUUGUCGCGGGGGCUCCGAUGGCGGCAGCUGCCGUCGGGCGAAAGAGAGAGGAGAUGAGGGGCGAUGCAGGGCUGGAGCAGGAAGCGGUAGGCAGUAGAGGUGGCUCCUCGCCGAAGAGUGGCAAGUGAUGUAGGCGAGAGGAGGAAGACAGAGGGAGAAAGGUUUGUGCAUGUGUUUGUGUGCGUGUUCUGUAAGAGAAAGAUAGAGGGGAGGCGAGGGGCGAGAGAUGAGAGGCGAGUGACGAGACGCCAGCGGCGGAUUCGCCGGAGGUGGCGGCGGUGUCAGUCUCAGAGAGAGAGAAAGGGGGAGAAGAAGAAGUGAAGAAGGAGAGUUUUACGUGAUAUUAAGUGAGCGAAAAAUUGGGCUAUGUAUUGGGCCCUUGAUUUAAUGAAACAUAAUUUAAAUGGGUAAAUAAAUCUGGGUUUAAUUAUGUUAUUUAGUGGACUUUUAAUUAAUAAUUUUUGGUCUCUAAUGUUCGGC
rnacentral:lncRNA from 1 species